AUUGAACGCUGGCGGCAGGCUUAACACAUGCAAGUCGAGCGAGCGGAGGACGGGUGAGUAAUGUCUGGGAAACGGCCUGGUGGAGGGCGAUAGCAAAUGGACGCGGUAGCUAAUACCGCAUACCAUCACGUAGGCCCAGAUAGGCUUAGCAGGGGGGUGGGGUAAUGGCUGACAUAGGCGACGAUCCCUAGCUGGUCUGAGAGGAUGACCAGCCACACUGGAACUGAGACACGGUCCAGACUCCUACGGGAGGCAGCAGUGGGGAAUAUUGCACAAUGGGCGCAAGCCUGAUGCAGCCAUGCCGCGUGUGUGAAGAAGGCCUUCGGGUUGUAAAGCACUUUCAGUGAGGAGGCGUUACUCGCAGAAGAAGCACCGGCUAACUCCGUGCCAGCAGCCGCGGUAAUUC
rnacentral:rRNA from 1 species